rnacentral:rRNA from 1 species
UACGUAGGUGGCAAGCGUUGUCCGGAUUCAUUGGGCGUAAAGGGUGCGUAGGCGGUCGCGCAAGUCGGAUGUGAAAUCUCAGGGCUCAACCCUGAAACUGCAUUCGAUACUGCGUGGCUAGAGUGCUGGAGGGGAGACUGGAAUUUACGGUGUAGCAGUGAAAUGCGUAGAUAUCGUAAGGAAGACCAGUGGCGAAGGCGAGUCUCUGGACAGCAACUGACGCUGAGGCACGAAGGCCAGGGGAGCAAACGGG